GAGGGCGUAGCUCAGUAUAGAGCAUAGUGCUUAGCAUGCACAAGGUCCUGGGUUCAAUCCCCGGUACCUCCA
rnacentral:tRNA from 1 species